rnacentral:rRNA from 1 species
AUGGCGACCGGCGCACGGGUGAGUAACACGUAUCCAACCUGCCGAUAACUCAGGGAUAGCCUUUCGAAAGAAAGAUUAAUACCCGAUGGCAUAAUUAGACCGCAUGGUCUUAUUAUUAAAGAAUUUCGGUUAUCGAUGGGGAUGCGUUCCAUUAGGCAGUUGGUGAGGUAACGGCUCACCAAACCUUAGAUGGAUAGGGGUUCUGAGAGGAAGGUCCCCCACAUUGGAACUGAGACACGGUCCAA